CCUACGGGGGGCAGCAGUGGGGAAUAUUGCACAAUGGGGGAAACCCUGAUGCAGCGACGCCGCGUGAGUGAAGACGUAACUCGUUAUGUUAAGCUCUAUCAGCAGGGAAGAAACAGACGGUACCUGAGUAAGAAUCCCCGUCUAUCUAGGGGCCAGCAGCCGCGGCAACACGCAGGGGGCAAGCGUUAUCCGGAUUUACUGGGUGUAAAGGGAGCGUAGACGGGGAAGAAAGUCUGAAGUGAAAGCCUGCGGCUUAACCGCGGAACUGCCUUUGAAACUUUCUUGCUGGAGUACCGGAGAGGUAGGCGGAAUUCGUGGUGUAGCGGUGAAAUGCGUAGAUAUUAGGAAGAACACCGAUGGCGAAGGCAGCGUACUGGACGGUAACUGACGUUGAGGCUCGAAAGCGUGGGGAGCAAACAGGAUUAGAUACCCCAGUAGUC
rnacentral:rRNA from 1 species